rnacentral:rRNA from 1 species
AAAAACUUAAUUUACNAAGACUUAUUAUACCAAUAUAAUUAACCNAAUUCAUUANACCUAUUGAGANAUUCUAUUAANAUAGAAAAGUUUAUGCUAGAACUAGUAAUAAGAAAAUAUUCUCUUAAUGCAAGUGUAAAUCAGAACGGAAAAUCCACUGAUAAUUAACGAACUAUAUAAAAAGAAUAAUAUCAUCUACAAGAAAACNCUAUUAUUUAUAUCGUUAAACCAACACAGGAGCAUAAUAGAAAGAUUAAAAGAACUAAAAGGAACUCGGCAAACCUAAAUUCCGCCUGUUUACCAAAAACAUCGCCUCUUGNAAUACUAAAUAUAAGAGGUCCCGCCUGCCCAGUGACAUUAGUUUAACGGCCGCGGUAUU